GAUGAACGCUGGCGGCGUGCCUAAUACAUGCAAGUCGAGCGAACAGACGAGGAUUUUGCUCCUCUGACGUGAGGGGCGGACGGGUGAGUAACACGAGUAUAACCUACCUAUAAGACUGGGAUAAUUUCGGGAAACCGGAUCUAACACCGGAUAAGAUAUUGAACCGCAUGGGUCAUUGGAGAAAGACGGCUUUGCUGGCACUACUAGAGGCAUCUGAGCCGGAUUAGCUAGUAGGUAGGGUAACGGCUUACCAAGGCGACGAUGCGUAGCCGACCUGACAGGGUGAUCGGCCACACGGGAACUGAGACACGGUCCAUACUCCUACGGGAGGCAGCAGUCGGGAAUGUUCGGCAGUGGGCGAAAGCCUGACACAGCAACGCCGCGUGUGUGAUGAAGGUCUUCGGAUCGUAAAGCUCUGUUAUUGGGGAUGAACCGCUGUGUACUUAGAUAUAGCCGUCUUGACGGUACCUAAUCAAGAAGCACCGGCUAACUACGUG
rnacentral:rRNA from 1 species